rnacentral:tmRNA from 1 species
GGGGGUGUUAUGGAAUCGACAUAAAUAAUGAGAUUAAAAAUGCAUGUCGAGUAUUAUGACUUAAAACUCGUAAACUUUAGUCAUAGGCAUUAUAAAUGCCAAUAAAAACAAUUACGCAUUAGCAGCUUAGUUAAUGCUCUCUUGGUAAUAAACGCUUAUUUUUAUUUAUUAGUAAACAAGAGAUUGAAAACAAUAAGAUAACAAAUUUUAAUAGUUUAUAAAAAAUUUGCUAAAUAUAAUAAACUAAAAUAUAUUACAUAUGCCUAUAUAAUGUCAUAUAUUAAAAUUUUAUAGGAUAAACAUGUAGAAAUAAUAAUUGAAAAUUUAUGGACGUGGGUUCAAAUCCCACCACCUCCAUAG